ACUAAGCGUUCACAACGCUCACGCUCACGACCGCUGAUUUCCCCAUUCCACUUGAUUGUGAAUGUUACUGUCGUUAACUCAAGUGGAAUGGAUUAUGGAGCGUUUCGGGCGUUCAUGUAAAUAUUACAAAUGGCAAGUUUGAAAAUAGUAGAAGUUUAAGGAGGUUAGGUAAUCCUAAACAAUAAGUUUUAAUAUUUGUGACUUAAAUUUAUUUAUGUUAAAAGUGAAGAAUAAUUGAAUAUUUUAUAAAUAAUUUUGGUGAAGUUAUCAAACAACUUAAGUUUAAAUAUAAUCGAAAUGGCUUUGACGGCAGUUGGAUAUUUGCUAAUGCAUCGCAAUAAAGCUCCAGAAACUAGUUCAUCUAGCUCAGAUGAAGAAUGGGAUGCAAUUAUAAAAAAUUAUAAUCGUGAAAACCGACAACUUAGGCCACGUAUUAUUGACUAUGAAAAUGUAAUUUUUCGCUAUUCGGAUGAAGAAUUUAAAAGUCAUUUCAGGCGUAGAUUAUACUCUAAAGUUAUUUUACUCUUUAAUUUACUUCAUUAUGUCUAAGUAAUUAUUUCAUUGAUGGAAUAAGAUUGAAUGAAGAAAUAAAAUUUCAAGGAACACAUU